GGCUGGUGGAGGGGGAAGGCUGAUUAUCAGUGGUUGUGCAACGUUUCAGGACGCAUAACGGCUGCACCCCAAGCACAAGGUAUGAAACUGCUAAUUCUUACUCCAAAUGGUAGAUUGGGAUGGGGGGUGUUUGCCAGUGAAGAGCUUAAUUUCUGACACCUCGAAUGAGCGUUGCUUUGCCAACAUUUGAUUUAAAUUAUCUAUCUGAGGCAUGUUUGAACGCAACUUUAACUUGCGCUCCGCGUCCCUUUCUCACUGUUAACCUUAGCCUUUCAUUUUUUUAGGUGUUGGACUAAGUUUGGAAGUUUGAAGCUUCGUUUGGCUUGGGUCACCUGUAUGGAGAGAUGCCAAUUGGAAACCACUUGUUUUGUGGUCUGAUGAUCUUCUUUCACCAUGUUUCAGUCUGCCAGGUUCAAUUAUGGAACAAUUUUUGUUAAAUGCUUUUUUGAGGAUUCCUAAUAGUAUGGGCACAUAACUUGCAACAGCCAUUUGAUAUCUCCAAUACCUGCUCUGUAUAGUGGUUUGAGGGGCACGGAAUCUAAGGCCAUUUUACAUGUACAGCUGCAUUCCUUGUUUGCUCAUGAUGUUCUCUUAUUCCAGAGUAAUGCCCCCUUACACACUUCAACAUAAUUCAAUAAAUACCAGGCAUGAACUCAAAUGCCUCAUGGGACCACUUCUUACCAGUUUCAAGCAUCAUUGAACCUUUAUAGACAGUCUAGUUAUUAGGUUAUCAAUGUCAAUCUUGUUAGGUAUAUCCACUAAUUUAUUCACCACUUCUGUAUGUCUUGCCACCACUGGAAAUUCUGUGGAUUGCAGGAACUCCAAAAAUGCAACAUCCAUAAAUUUGCAUCUACAGAACAGUACAAUCCAGUACAUUGCCAUUAAAGAUUGAAUAAACCGUGAACAGUUCAAAAUGUUAAAGGUGGUCUUCUUAAUCAUUCUUUUACUGUAAUUACCAUUUUCCUGCUGAAUAAUGUAUAUUAAUUUUCAUAGCUCUGCAUAUGAAAGUGGAUGGUGCUUACCACUAAUUCCUCACACUGCCAGAGACACUGGCUCCUCCUUCCCUUCCCUGCUUGGGUUUUCCUGUGAGAUCCUCAAGAUAUGUCUUAUUUAUUUGGCCAAUCUUGGUCCUGUGCUGCAUUGUGCGGUCAUUCAUUUAACUUAACAUGGCUAUGCAGAACUAAUGCAAUUUCUAUAUGUAAAGUCAUUAUAAAAGCAAUUGAUUCAAGUUACCUAAUCAAGUUAAGUUUUAAUUAAUAAAGUGUUCUAUAAGAAUGGCAGGUGCUACCAUAAUACACUGUUAAAAAAGAAAUCACACAAACUCUUUCAAAAUAAUAACGCCUUUAUUUCAGCUUCGAAAAUCAGUUUUUGAAAUCUUCAAAAAAAUUCGAAAUAUCCUUAGAAAUACACAAAAAGAAACAUACAAAAUGACCACAAUGACUGCACCGCUCUGAUUCAUUAGUAUUUCCAGUCUAAGUGAGAGGUGAGGAAUAAUCAAGCUCUUACGAAUAUUAGCCGUGUAUCUUAACUAGAUUCCCAAAUAUUACAGCAACAUUAUAUUUUAACAAUCUAUGCAAUAGCCAAACUCCAACCAUGCUUCUCAAGUAAAUGAGAUUUGCAAAAUUUGAAUCACUCACAAACCAAAUUUUUUUAGUGGGGUUUCUUAUCUGUUCUUUUUUUCCUGCACAUCUUUUUUUUGGCUAACAUUUAUCAAACUGUACAAAAAUGUUUAAAAGCAAUCUACUGUACCAAAAAAGUAAAUAAAAAACUAUU